UGGCCGAGUGGCGGAAAGGCAGACGCUGGGGACUUAAAAUCCCCUGCCCGCAAGGGCGUGUGGGUUCGAAUCCCACCUCGGCUAUCC
rnacentral:tRNA from 1 species